GAAAUGCGAUAAGUAAUGUGAAUUGCAGAAUUCAGUGAAUCAUCGAAUCUUUGAACGCACAUUGCGCCCGCCAGUAUUCUGGCGGGCAUGCCUGUUCGAGCGUCAUUUCAACCAUCAAGCCCCCGGCUUGUGUUGGGGACCUGCGGCUGCCCGCAGGCCCUGAAAAACAGUGGCGGGCUCGCUGUCACACCGAGCGUAGUAGCAUACAUUCUCGCUCAGGGCGUGCUGCGGGUUCCGGCCGUUAAACGACCUUCAUAACCCAAGGUUGACCUCGAUCAGGUAGGAAGACCCGCUGAACUUAAGC
rnacentral:misc_RNA from 1 species